rnacentral:tRNA from 1 species
GGACAGUUGGCCGAGCGGUUAUGGCGCUAGUUUCAGGAUGACCUCCCCUCAUUAAAUACUAGUUCGAAAGAGCGAGGGUUCGAAUCCCUCACUGUUCA